rnacentral:misc_RNA from 1 species
ACGCACGACUACGACGUCAAGAUGCGCAACGUGCUGAAGUUCCUCGAAGGCGGCGACAAGGUGAAGAUCACCCUGCGCUUCCGGGGCCGCGAGAUGGCACACCAGAACCUCGGCCGCGAGCUGCUCGAGCGCGUCUCCGAGGACGUCAAGGAAGUGGGCAAGGUCGAGAACAUGCCCAAGAUGGAAGGCCGCCAGAUGGUCAUGAUGAUCGGUCCGAUCACCAAGUAAGCGCCAUCCGAGGAUCCCCUCCGGGGAUCCGCCGAGGGAAAACCCGCCGCGCUGCCGCCGGCGGGUUUUGCUUUUGGUGGCACCUCCAU